rnacentral:tRNA from 1 species
GGAGAGGUGGGUGAGUGGCUGAAACCACAGGUUUGCUAAACCUGCAUACGGGAAACCGUAUCACGAGUUCGAAUCUCGUCCUCUCCG